rnacentral:rRNA from 1 species
AGGACGAACGCUGGCGGCGUAGCUUAACACAGUGCAAGUCGAACGGUAAGGCCCUUCGGGGUACACGAGUGGCGAACGGGUGAGUAACACGUGGGUGAUCUGCCCUGCACUUCGGGAUAAGCUUGGGAAACUGGGUCUAAUACCGGAUAGGACCACGGUCUGCAUGGAUUGUGGUGGAAAGCUUUUGCGGUGUGGGAUGGGCCCGCGGGCCUAUCAGCUUGUUGUGGGGUGAUGGCCUACCAAGGCGACGACGGGUAGCCGGCCUUGAGAGGGGUGUCCGGGCCACACUGGGACUGAGAUACGGCCCAGACUCCUACGGGAGGCAGCAGUGGGGAAUAUUGCACAAUGGGCGCAAGCCUGAUGCAGCGACGCCGCGUGGGGAUGACGGCCUUCGGGUUGUAAACCUCUUUACAGUAGGGACGAAGCGUAAGUGACGGUACCUAUAGAAGAAGCACCGGCCAACUACGUG